ensembl:snoRNA SNORA71 Small nucleolar RNA SNORA71
ACCUGCAUUCGCAUGGGGUUGAGGUCUCACCCGGUUGUUGAUGAUGCAGGGAAAGGAGCUCAGAAAGCCUUUCCCAUGUUUGAUGGGCUCGGUCCUGUCGCUCCCAAACCCUGUGGCCUUCAGACA